GUUUUUGUAGCUUAAAUACCAAAGCAAAGCACUGAAAAUGCUUAGAUGAGCCCUGAGGGUUCCAUAAACA
rnacentral:tRNA from 1 species